GUCCACGCCCUAACGAUGAACACUAGUCGUCGGGAUGCUUGUCAUCUCGGUGAUGCACUUAACAGGUUAAGUGUUCCGCCUGGGGAGUACGGUCGCAAGAUUAAAACUCAAAGGAAUAGACGGGACCCGCACAAGUGGUGGAGCAUGUGGUUUAAUUCGAAGAUACGCGAAAACCUUACCUGGCCUUGACAUUGAUAGAAUCUGCUAGAGAUAGCGGAGUGCCCUUGGGGAGCUUGAAAACAGGUGCUGCACGGCUGUCGU
rnacentral:rRNA from 1 species